GGGACAACACAAGCUGGGCAUCCAGUUUACUGCCAACAGCUCCAUGAGCCAUGGGGCUCACUGGAGCACCACUGCCCAGAGACGGAGCAUUAUUGAUGGGCAGAGAUGAGCCAGGUGCUGCUGAUUGGCUGGUACAGCGGAAGGGGUGGAGUCAGAUGAGCCAACAGUCAGUGAGUUGAGGAGGCCUGAAGAACCUUGACACUGAUCCCCAAGGUGCUCUGGGCAGCGACCUCUCCCUACAUACAGCAGCGCUGAAGUACGGGACAAAUCGCUUCCUUUUCAGCUCAAAACGAAACGCGGCCGGCCCGGCGGCCGCCACGGGUCUCUCCCCCUCCUUCCUCCCCUUUCCCUCAUCCACCUGCUGGCCUCUGUGGAGGUUCUGCCAUAGCCACCACCAAGCAGUUAUUUUUACACAUCUGCCAGCAUCUUGUGAUUCUGACAAAUCGUCUGGAACCAAAACUGGAGCUGGUAGCUGAAGGUUUUCACCGGGAGUGAGCAAGAUGGACAGGAUCAGAAAUGAGUACAUCAAGGGGACAGCCCAGGUUGAGUGGUUGUGAUUUCACGUGUUUUCCUAUCAUUUUAUUUGAAUGUUGUCACAUAUUAUGCACAACAUAGGCUUGUAAUGUAUUUUUAAUUUCCCUGCUUUUAGCACAGAAAGUGCCUUCUGUGGAAGACAAUGAGGACCGUGAAACAGAAAUUAAUCGGUCUGACAUGAAGUGGAAAAAGGUUUGAGCAGAAAUGAAAAAUCACAGUUUGAAAUGUUGCUUUUCUGUCUGUUAUUGAACUCAGCAGCUGUUCUGACAUCUGCAAGUCAUUCAAGUAACUGGAAUACAGAGCAGACAGGACACAAAAUAUGGUUCAAAAUAUGGGGGAGGGGGGGAGAGAGUUCCUAAGUGACAGAAAAUAUUUGCCUAGAUCAAAUCCCAUAUGUAAAUACUUCAAAGUGCUUUUCCCCUUUUUUACUUAAUCUGCCCAGACCCUGUGUCCUCACAUAACAAUUUGGCUUUUCUGCACUUUACAAAGUGAUGUAAAACACAGAAUGAAGUGUAAAGUGAUGUUGACUUUAUCUUUGUUGUAAAUUAAAUGCAUUGUUCCCAUUUGAAAAGUUAUUAAAAUGAUGUAAGAACUAUCAAACAAAGUAAGACUUCCUCUUUCAAUUUAGAUGAUGAGGAAAUGAUUAAGAUGUAAACAUAAGGGGGUAAGGCUAAAUAAGUAUAUACUUCUGCCUACUCCUUUUCAAACAACUGCAUGGAAUGAUAUUAUGAAAUGUUGGUGAAUGUAUAUGUUUGAAAUAAAAAUGAACUGAA